GAUGAACGCUGGCGGCGUGCCUAAUACAUGCAAGUCGAGCGAACAGACGAGGUGCUUGCUCCUCUGACGUUAGCGGCGGACGGGUGAGUAACACGUGGAUAACCUACCUAUAAGACUGGGAUAACUUCGGGAAACCGGAGCUAAUACCGGAUAAUAUAUUGAACCGCAUGGUUCAAUAGUGAAAGACGGUUUUGCUGUCACUUAUAGAUGGAUCCGCGCCGCAUUAGCUAGUUGGUAAGGUAACGGCUUACCAAGGCAACGAUGCGUAGCCGACCUGAGAGGGUGAUCGGCCACACUGGAACUGAGACACGGUCCAGACUCCUACGGGAGGCCGCAGUAGGGAAUCUUCCGCAAUGGGCGAAAGCCUGACGGAGCAACGCCGCGUGAGUGAUGAAGGUCUUCGGAUCGUAAAGCUCUGUUAUUAGGGAAGAACAAAUGUGUAAGUAACUAUGCACGUCUUGACGGUACCUAAUCAGAAAGCCACGGCUAACUACGUG
rnacentral:rRNA from 1 species